rnacentral:lncRNA from 1 species
GAGGAACGAGAUUAGAUCUUUGACCAACGACCAAGUUCACUGCUCCACAAAAGGUGAAAAUCUAAAAUUAUUCUUAUUUAUUCGACAUCGACGAUUGUUUUGUUGUUAUAAGUCAUGCAUAAUGGAUAUAUCACUCUGUAAAUUUUAUUCAUUUCAAUUUGAACUGUUUACUGUAUAUUCCCAUAUGCUUGCAUAUCAGCCUAGUAAUCUCAACUGCCUUUCUUUAUUAUAUUUUAUCAUUUUGUUCAGCAUCUUGGUGCUAGUUUAGGAGUCCAUGUUAGUCUUUCGUUAUUCUGUAUGGAAGUGACAAAUGUUUAUAUAUAGUUCAAGGCUUGUGCUUCAUCAUAUAUACCUUUCUAUUUGAGUUUGUUGAUUUUUUAGUAAAGUCUUGUUAAUUAGAAACCUAUUGUAAAUCGUUGGUUGGAUUUCUCAUAAUUAAGUUCACUGUUUUGGAUCCUUUAUUUCAGUUCCUAUUUUAGUAACAAAGAUGUGAUAGUUUAUCAAUGCUAAAUGAAAUAUUUGUUACAGUAAAGCUUAAGUUGUAUUUAAUACUUAUUGUUGGAGUUAAAAAAAAACAUUUUGUUACUAUCAAACUAUGCCAAAUUGCAAAUAUAUGGGUAAUCGUUAUGUAACCUCUUUGUUUACCAUAAAUACAUGUUGAAUAUUAAUGGAAUUCUAGUUUUUAUUACAUUUUAUAAUUUUUUUUGCUGUUAUUAAGAGAUAAAUCAUUGUUCUAACUCCUUCAUUCUCCUUAUUCUUUGUUUGCAUGAAAAUCGGAGUCGAAGAGUCUCACUUAAAGACUCGAUGCUAUCGCAAGACUCGAAGCGUGUAUUAAAUCUUCACUUGUGCCUCGCUGCUCCCUAGAAACACAUCCAGACAAAAAUGAAGAGGGAUGUGCCGCAACGGCAAAUCCCGAAAUGUCAUUCCUUUACCAAAGUCAAAAAAUGAUUUUGGUUUAUCCUAUUUUCUUUAUUGCUUGUUUAUUAGUGUGACUGACAUUUUAUUUUAAUUAUGUGAUUUGGCUGCUUAUAACUUUUUUGUUUAGUUAACAUUAUUUUGCUAUUAUUAUUCUAUCACAUAAGAUAAACAUCUA